GAUGAAGAACGUAGCAAAAUGCGAUACUUGGUGUGAAUUGCAGAAUCCCGUGAACCAUCGAGUUUUUGAACGCAAGUUGCGCCCGAAGCCUUUUGGCCGAGGGCACGUCUGCCUGGGCGUCACGCAUCGCGUCGCCCCCCACGAUUCUCCGUAAAGGGAACGUGUGUUUUGGGGGCGGAUAUUGGUCUCCCGUGCUCAUGGCGUGGUUGGCCGAAAUAGGAGUCCUUUCGAUGGACGCACGAACUAGUGGUGGUCGUAAAAACCCUCGUCUUUUGUUUCGCGCUGUUGCUCGCAAGGUAAACUCUUUAAAAACCCCAAUGUGUCGUCUCUUGACGACGCUUCGACCGCGACCCCAGGUCAGGCGGGACUACCCGCUGAGUUUAAGCAUAUCAAUAAGCGGAGGA
rnacentral:misc_RNA from 1 species